rnacentral:rRNA from 1 species
UACGGAGGAUCCAAGCGUUAUCAGGAAUCAUUGGGUUUAAAGGGUCCGUAGGCGGGCCUGUAAGUCAGUGGUGAAAUCUCCCCGCUCAACGGGGAAACGGCCAUUGAUACUGCAGGCCUUGAAUUAUUGGGAAGUAACUAGAAUAUGUAGUGUAGCGGUGAAAUGCUUAGAUAUUACAUGGAAUACCGAUUGCGAAGGCAGGUUACUACCAAUGGAUUGACGCUGAUGGACGAAAGCGUGGGGAGCGAACAGG